CAAAUCACAAUGUCUCGUAUUGGGCAGAACAAAGACACCAGACUGUUGUGUAUAGCCCCUCAUGAGGCCGUGAUGGCAGAAGAUGGAGUACGUCACAAGGUUGUGGAUAACGUCGAUGACUGCGUCAAGGCUGUCGAUGACCUCCUCCAGGAGCCUGUCGUUGCUGUGGACUGCGAGGGAGUCCAUCUUGGAAAGAAGGGCCCUCUCACUCUUCUCAGGUGGCCAAACUAGACGGUUUUGUCUACUUGUUCAAUGUGUUUGUUGAGCCAAAAGUCUUCACUGAAGGCCGACUGAAGUCGUUUCUGGAAAACAAAGAUGUCAUCAAGGUGUUUCAUGCCUGCAGCAACGACAGUGCCGCUCUCAAGAGCCAGUACGAAGUCAUGCUCGUCAACGUGUUUGAUGUACAGGCGGCACAGUAUAUUAUUGAUACGUCCGAAGGGAGACAACUCCCGUCUCACAGGAAGUUGCUGGAUUUGUGCAGCUUGUACACAGACGUCACAUUGCUUGAGGGGAAAGAAGAAGUUCAAGCGAAAUGGUACAAGACAGACAGGGCGUACUGGGCUAAACAAGAAUUUUUCACCGGAAAUGGUAGACUACGCAUGUGCAGAUGUGAGGAUUCUGUUACCGGAAGUGUAUGAAAGCUGAAGAGGGAACUUGAUGAAAAAGCGCUGUGGGCAGAGUUUAGAGAAAAAGUAGAAUUUGAAUUGAACUUUCGAUGGAAUGAGAAUGUCAAAGAUGACAAAAAUGAAGAGACCAUGACUACCAUUAGAAACAUACUUCGCAAGUUCUCAACAAAAUAUACCAGUAAUGUCAAGCUGGAUGACAUCACAAGCGAGGACGACGUUCAUGCGUUGAAACAGAUACGAAUCCCAAGACGUAGGACAGUUUCCUGAUAUUGUCAUGAAACUGAAAAACCAAAUUCUAAAAAAGGAAAUGGACGAAUUGGAACAAGCCUUAACAGAAAAGGCCGACUCUUUCGUUCCGAUGGGAUCGCACUUCAGAAUGCUGGCCGCCGGCAAGAGCAGCCGUGAUCCCGCAGUAAGCAUGGCAGCACGGAGACUAAAUCUCAAGCUGGAUGAGAUUCUGAAGACGGACCUAAUUACCAAGUACGAUGAAACAACUCCAGGUAAUUACAUCUCGGAGGAUGAGAAAAGAUUCAUGAGAAGACUACCAUCUUCUACCGGCACCAGCCCAGCUGUCAACCCCGUCCUCCGCCAUCUUUACAACGUCAGCAUCGACAGCGACGUGGAGGAAAUCGAGACUUUGCGACAGAAGUGCCAGUCUGAGGGGAAGCGUUUCUGACUUCGAGACGGUGAUCACAGGCUUUUCAAAUACUACAUCAGCGCUUCUGAAAUCCCACCAAGGCUCAAGACAAAGGCUAAAGGAUUUCUGGAUACGCUGGAGAAUGCUGGAAUCAUUUCAAGACAUAGGAAGAGACAAUACCGAUUCUAAUUAUCACCAAUACCUACCAGACACCUGCUCAUAAGAUGAAAAUCUUGUCUAAGACGCGAAGGAACAAGAAAUUUUGAUCAUGUCCAUAUAAUAUGUCACUUCUCGGAGGUACAUUCUCCCUUUAUUAAACAGAUGAAAUAUGUAUUGUGCUGAGACUGUGAAUGGACCAAACAAAGGUAAAUUCGAAUGGUCCUCUUAUGUUUUAGAACGUUCAAAAAUACACAUAUAAUAUCCA
rnacentral:misc_RNA from 1 species